UACAGAGGGGGCUAGCGUUGUUCGGAAUUACUGGGCGUAAAGGGCGCGUAGGCGGCCCGCUAAGUCGAACGUGAAAUCCCCGGGCUCAACCCGGGAACUGCGUCCGAUACUGGCAGGCUUGAAUCCGGGAGAGGGAUGUGGAAUUCCAGGUGUAGCGGUGAAAUGCGUAGAUAUUCGGAAGAACACCAGUGGCGAAGGCGGCUCACUGGCCCGGUACUGACGCUGAUGUGCGAAAGCGUGGGGAGCAAACAGG
rnacentral:rRNA from 1 species